rnacentral:lncRNA from 1 species
AUACAAUGAGCCCAAGAAGUCAAAAACCGGAAAGACGGCCACGAAUGGCAUCUCAGCGAACGGUGUGAACAAGUCAGAGAAGCAGCUUGUGUUAGAAAACGGGAAACCCCAGAAGAACGGGAAGCCAAAAGGAGAGUAAAUCGAACUGGGCCUUAACCGGUGACAGUGAGGAAACUCCUGUGUCAUUUAAAAGUUCAGGGGCAACAGAAGCAGAGGAUCUGGGGUGGGGAGAAAGGCAGAUAGGGUCUGUGCACCUUCAGACUGAGUAAACCUUUCAAUAUACGGUUCCUAGAUGUUUUAUUUAUGAAGUUUUUAUUUUAAACAUUUUUUUAUUAGCCUUCAUGUUGUCCAGACCAAAGCAAUCCCAACGUGACCUUGGAGCCUCUCCUCCUGUUCGCUCACCUGUGCAGUGGGUGGAAAUUUCACCUAUCUUCCAUUUACUCUUUCCUCAGUCUGAAUUUUAGAUGAUCACAGAACACAGUUUUAUGAAAAAAAUUUUUUUUCCCUAAAUCACUAGUUUCCUACUGGUUGCAAAUCAGUUACCUGACAUUUUCUUGUUCAGAGACAGAACAAGAAAAUACAUUCGAAUUUGGAUCCAUUUACUAACCCUUGUGGUCAAACCUCUCCUCCUCUAAGCCAGAAUAUUCCCUUUUGGCUGUAAUUAAAUUUGAAAGCUCUGAAAAAUCUCAGUAGAUUCAUAAAGGCUUGAUGAUGAUGAUGAUGAUGAUGAUGAUGAUGACGACGACGACGACGAUGUUGAUGGUGAUGAUGGUGCUGUUGGUAAAGAUAAGAAAGAAUAGUAGUAAAAUCUUUGUGACCCAAAGGCCACCAUGACUUAUGGCACAAAUCACUGUGGGAAACAAUAUAUCUCUCUCUAUUUUUUUGUAAUGAGGAAGGUAACCUUUGAAUACUAUUAUUAGCAGGAAUGUAUCAUGCGAAUUAAGAUUAUUGUAUGAUUGAAAUAUGGAAGAACUCAUGUCUUUGUUAGUAACAUCUAAGGUAGUCACAUUUACACGCACUUAGAACUCUGAGGGUGGAUUGAUUUAUUUUUAUCAGGGCUUUCCUUGUUUUGAUUUGUGGCUGUUGCUGAUUUUUUUUUUCAUACGUGGACAUUCACCUACCUCUUCUGUUGGAAAGAACAUUUAAAAUGAAAUAAAUUUUACUUAAAAAAAUCAAGGAGUCCUCUAAUGUAGAUUUUGAUUUUCAAAUUUACUUCAAAUUUACUUUUUAUUUUGUUUUAUUUUCAAAUAGCUCAAACAUUUCCGUGAUGUUAUCCAUCUCUUUCAGUGUGUCUAAUUCUGAGUAAUGCUGACUUCCCCUGUGACUAUGUUGCAAAAAAAAAAAAAAUCUUCCUUAUUAACUAGAAAAGUGUAAAUGCAUUUUGGUGCAAUAUCUCGACUCCUUGGUGCUAAUGGUCACUAAAUUCAGUGCUUGCCCUUACAAGGUGUUACUUAUUAAUACAAGAUGAGAAAAAUUGAGACCAAGUUGGAUCUCUCAAGUCAAAUGUGGUGUUUACAAGAUAUGUCUCAUGUAAUCGAAAUGGAGGACUGGAAGACUGCAGAAGAGACGUUGUUCCACAUUUUGUUUUUACACAGAUUAAUUUGUUAUGGGACGUCACAGAGGGAUCACAUGGAAAGAGAAACUGUGACAAAAAAAAUAGCAUGAAUAUUUCUAAAUCUUCCAACCUGUCAAAACCGCAUGUGUAGGAUGUCUGCUGUUUGUACAGACUUUCAGGACAUUUUGUAAUUAUAAAAUAUUUAUUGUGCGUUGAGAUUACGUUUUCCCCAAAGGCAUGCAGUCACAAACAUUACAGAAAUUAGCAGCACAUGAAAUAGUACGGUCUAAGAGGAUCACCACGUUGUCUUUCGCCAGUGUGUAAUGACUAGAGAUGUGUAGAUCUUUGCGAACAUUCUGUUCUGGCUUCCCACACCCCUUCAUUCCCUGCUAUCAGAUUUCAGCACAAUAAAUAUACUACUGCUGUGGGAAAAGUGAA